AUGCGGGCACAAGUCAGGGUGUUGCUCUCCUUUCCUGUCCAGCUUCAUCUCCCAUUCUCAGAAAAAGCAGAAAGCCAAAUUUGCUUGAUACGUUUUGGUUGCACAUUACAUUCUUCUGAGAAGAACCGUCAGAUCUGCUUGGAAAUGCAAGCUACCCUGUCUCAUGCCACUGCCACAGCUUUCUGGGACAACCAGCAGCUCUCCUCCGUGCAGGAGGCUGGGUACUACUACAAGUCUGUUGAAGAGGUGAGCAGAGCCAGAAGUCAUCUGCAGCAGGAAGUGGUGUUACAGCUCUGAGAUGCUGUGAAAUAAUUUUAAAAGGGAGAAGCGUCACUGCCCAAAGCUACACGUUCAGAGCCGUCGUUCUGGUCCUCACACCUGGCUAUGCACAAGUCAGUGAAAUGCCCUUCUCCUCGCUCUGCCACAGCUUCUUCUCCCUUGUAAGCGGGUCAGCAAUGGCUCAUCUCAUUUUUCAAAACAUUUUAGGACCUAUAUAUAAAAAGAUCUAGAGAAAGACACAGCGUAUUAUUACAUUGCUUGGUGGUGCCUUUAGCAAGCACUUAAUGGAGACUAUGGCUGUUUUAAGUUGUGUGAUAUUUCUAUGUGCACAGAUAACCAGGGCAGAGCCGACUCUUAACUGCUCAUAUGUGUUUAAUUAGAGCUGCAUUUUUAAUCCUUUUAAUUUGUAUCUCUUUCUUAAUAACCUCAGCUUGGCAAAGGUUGAAAAGGAAUAAGUUUCAUUUGAAUAUUGGGUAAAACUUGGUAACAGCAGAGCAGAUUGUUUAGCAAAAGGGUUACAGCAUGUUCUUUAAAGACUAUGGGUAACAGUUUGGCUCCGUAGUGAGCUAAGCCUAGGUUUUUGCCCUUUGAAAAUCAUUUCAGAGAAGCUUAGUAAAAACAUGCUGGAGCUCAGUAUAUCAUCCAAGCUUGCUAUGGAAAGUUUAACCGUACCAACGGGGCGUUAUUUGCCUGCAAUCUCAAGGCAGGUAAGAUCACAGCAACAUUGAUUAGUUUUUGCAGCAUAGUUCUUAAAUCUUAAUGCAAUCACAUUAUGAAUUCUUAUUUAAUUUUCGCCCAAAAGGAGAAAGUCAUUGCAGACUACUGCAAUACCUGCUGGUGAAAUCUCCUGAGAUUAAAAAUCUACAGGAAUGCUCCAAGCUGAAUUAGCAAAAAUGGCUCUAUAAGCUUGAAAUCUUGAAUCCAGAGUUUAUAGAAAGGAUUUAACCUACUUCCCAAACACUUG
rnacentral:lncRNA from 1 species